AUACGUAGGGGGCGAGCGUUGUCCGGAAUUACUGGGCGUAAAGGGUGCGUAGGCGGCUAAUUAAGUCAGAUGUGAAAUACCAGGGCUCAACCCUGGGGGUGCAUUUGAAACUGGUCAGCUUGAGUGCAGGAGAGGGAAGUGGAAUUCCUAGUGUAGCGGUGAAAUGCGUAGAGAUUAGGAGGAACACCAGUGGCGAAGGCGACUUCCUGGACUGUAACUGACGCUGAGGCACGAAAGCGUGGGGAGCAAACAGGAUUAGGUACCCUGGUAGUCCACGCCGUAAACGAUGGAUACUAGGUGUAGGGGGUUAUUUACACCUUCUGUGCCGGAGUUAACGCAAUAAGUAUCCCGCCUGGGGAGUACGGCCGCAAGGUUGAA
rnacentral:rRNA from 1 species